rnacentral:rRNA from 1 species
UACGUAGGGGGCUAGCGUUAUCCGGUAUUACUGGGCGUAAAGGGUGCGUAGGUGGUUUCUUAAGUCAGAGGUGAAAGGCUACGGCUCAACCGUAGUAAGCCUUUGAAACUGGGAAACUUGAGUGCAGGAGAGGAGAGUGGAAUUCCUAGUGUAGCGGUGAAAUGCGUAGAUAUUAGGAGGAACACCAGUUGCGAAGGCGGCUCUCUGGACUGUAACUGACACUGAGGCACGAAAGCGUGGGGAGCAAACAGGAUUAGAUACCCGGGUAGUCCCUGAGCGGG